rnacentral:lncRNA from 1 species
ACACAGAUACCCCGUGACGACCGACAGCAUCAUUAUGACAGGACAACAUGGGGUAUGACUCAGGAAAGGGUUCCCGAUCCGUGAUGUAUGCAAGGGAAAUUUAGCCCCUUCUCUUACUGGAUUCCAGGGAAGGGGGUCAUUAGCAGUCAACACCAUGAGUAAGCCUUCCUAGCGCUCCAAUACCGCUGGAUAGACCAACAGUGUCCGAAACGCCUUCUCCCCUCCCACUCAAGGUUAUGACAAGUUGUGAUUGACUCAGCCCGGUGGAAUAGCAACAUGCCAGCCCCCUAAAAAUAGACCACCCUCUUCAUCUUCCCAACAUAGCUCGGGACUUCCAGAUAUAAUCAGCGGCGAGGGGCCAGCCAGAGUCUCAGAGCUACGACCAAGGAGUGGAGCAGGCCUCCGUCUUAGGAUACUCUUAACAACUGGAGCUUCCUCGCGAUUUUUCCCUGUAGGACUUGUUCUUAAAAGGCAGCACCGUCCGGGAUCUCCGGGAACUCUCUAUGAGAAAACGGUGAGAGUUUUUGGUGACUCGGAUAACAGAAGACACAUACCUUACCAAGGACACAAGAUAUCUGGUUUCCCCUCGGUGAAGGAGCGGUCAGUUCUCUAUUUAUCCCACGCAGCUGCUAUCGCUGAUCACCCCAGUGGCCUGACGGAACUAAAUUUCGUACACAAGAUCUCUUCAAAUUCUCUUGAUAACCAGAAAGCAAACCAGGUAGGGAAUUUUAUAAAAAACAGGUAUGGUUGGCUAACAUGAUUUCUGCAGUCAAUAGAAUGGUUCGGGCUUACAAUCAAACUAACCUGGUAUAUAAAAUGCCACUAAAAUAACUAUAGCCCAAUAUGUAGGAAAUCUAUUGAUACUGGGGUGCUUUGUACUUCGCUUGUAAUAUACUGACAUCUUGUCUAAUUUUAUAUAUAUUAUUUCCCAGUAGACAAUACUAGGCAUAUUGUUUACUGGGAAAGGAUUGAGACAUUUCACUUAGCUGGACAAAACUGUCUUCUGAUCUGACGCAGGGGAUGGAUAGAGUGGAUAGAGGGAAGCUCUUUUCCCUCUCAUGCAAUACCAGAAACAGGGGAAAUCCACUCCAAUGGAGUUCUGGGAGAGUGAGAACAGAUCCAAAAAAUAUAUCUUUAUAC